rnacentral:rRNA from 1 species
UACGUAGGGGACAAGCGUUGUCCGGAAUUAUUGGGCGUAAAGCGCGCGCAGGCGGUCCUUUAAGUCUGAUGUGAAAUCACGUGGCUCAACCACGUGCGGUCAUUGGAAACUGGAGGACUUGAGUGCAGAAGAGGAAAGUGGAAUUCCAAGUGUAGCGGUGAAAUGCGUAGAGAUUUGGAGGAACACCAGUGGCGAAGGCAGCUCUCUGGACUGUAACUGACACUGAGGCACGAAAGCGUGGGGAGCAAACAGGAUUAGA